GGGGGGUGCAAGCGUUAUCCGGAAUCAUUGGGUUUAAAGGGUCCGCAGCGGUCUUAUAAGUCAGUGGUGAAAGCCUACAGCUCAACUGUAGAACUGCCAUUGAUACUGUAAGACUUGAAUUCGAUCGAAGUGGGCGGAAUAUGACAUGUAGCGGUGAAAUGCUUAGAUAUGUCAUAGAACACCGAUAGCGAAGGCAGCUCACUAGGUCUGGAUUGACGCUCAGGGACGAAAGCGUGGGGAGCAAACAGGAUUAGAUACCCUGGUAGUCCACGCCGUAAACUAUCAAUACUCGUUCUCAGCCCUUUGGGGGUUGGGGACCAAGCGAAAGUGAUAAGUAUUGCACCUGGGGAGUACGAUCGCAAGGUUG
rnacentral:rRNA from 1 species